rnacentral:lncRNA from 1 species
GGGGGGGGGGGGGGGGGGGACGUCAGAUCUGGUGGCUUGGAACAGAGGAGGUAUUCCUCCGCCCUCUUCUUGCAACAUGCUCUGGUAGGAGCCCAGGUGGAGGAAAUCAUCGGCUUGGGAGUUGAGAUCGAGGCCGGCUGAUCCCCUUGCUGGAAAACGGGUAGCCGACACCAGAUCCGCCAUGGGCUUCAGACGCCUGAGUGAACCCGUACUCGGCACCGGUUUCUUCGUGUGCUGCCGACUGGGAGAAGAAGUCCACCAUCUCGUCCUCUUGACCAGCCAUGGCGUCCAGAUCGGCGGUGGAUCCACGGAGCUGCGGGGGCGUGGCCGAUAACACCAAGCAGCGGCGAGGCUGAUAGCACCUAGUGGCGGCGGCGGCGGGGCCAACUUUACUCUAGCGGCGGAGGGGCCGGCUAACCCUGGCGGCCGCGGCGGCGGUGGGAGAAAACCCUAGCGGCGCGCGGCAGUGCGAGCGGAGCGCGGGAUGGGAAAGAGGGGGAGAGAGAGCAGAGUGCGAGCGGACAGAGAGAGAGAGAGCAGAGUGGCGGGAUAGGGCCGAUCGGGCUUAGUCACUUUUAGCACCUCCCUCAGGAACUUAUACAUCUUUUAGUCCUUUUAGUUUCUCCUGUUUGUUAUUUUAGGGGCUAAAAGAGACUAAAGUGAAGGAA